rnacentral:rRNA from 1 species
GAGGAAUAUUGCGCAAUGGAGGCAACUCUGACGCAGCCAUGCCGCGUGCAGGAUGAAGGCGCUACGCGUUGUAAACUGCUUUUAACCGGGAAGAAACCCCAGGACGUGUCCUGGGUUGACGGUACCGGAGGAAUAAGCACCGGCUAACUUCGUGCCAGCAGCCGCGGUAAUACGAAGGGUGCAAGCGUUAUCCGGAUUCAUUGGGUUUAAAGGGUGCGUAGGCGGGGUGGUAAGUCAGUGGUGAAAUCCUGCAGCUCAACUGUAGAAUUGCCAUUGAUACUGCCGCUCUUGAGUGUGGUUGACGUGGGCGGAAUGUGCCGUGUAGCGGUGAAAUGCUUAGAUAUGGCACAGAACACCGAUCGCGAAGGCAGCUCGCGAAGCCACAACUGACGCUGAGGCACGAAAGCGUGGGGAUCGAAC